GAUGAACGCUAGCGGCAGGCUUAAUACAUGCAAGUCGUGGGGCAGCAUGAAGUAGCAAUACUUUGACGGCGACCGGCAAACGGGUGCGGAACACGUACACAACCUUCCUUUUAGUGGGGAAUAGCCCAGAGAAAUUUGGAUUAAUACCCCGUAACAUAGCGAUGAGGCAUCUCAUUGCUAUUAUAGCUUCGGCGCUAGAUGAUGGGUGUGCGUAUGAUUAGAUAGUUGGCGAGGUAAUGGCUCACCAAGUCUACGAUCAUUAGCUGAUGCAAGAGCAUGAUCAGCCACACGGGCACUGGGACACGGGCCCGACUCCUACGGGAGGCAGCAGUAAGGAAUAUUGGUCAAUGGACGAAAGUCUGAACCAGCCAUGCCGCGUGAAGGAUUAAGGUCCUCUGGAUUGUAAACUUCUUUUAUAUGGGACGAAAAAAGGUCUUUCUAGAUCACUUGACGGUACCAUAUGAAUAAGCACCGGCUAACUCCGUGCCAGCAGCCGCGGUAAAAC
rnacentral:rRNA from 1 species